rnacentral:pre_miRNA from 1 species
AAUAAGUGUAGUUUUGUUUUUUUCAUAUCCAACGUUUAACCAUUUAUCUUAUUUAAAAAAAAUUAUAAUUAGUAUUUUUAUUGUUAUUAGAUGAUAAAGUAUGAAUAGUACUUUAUAUGUGACUAUUUUUUUAAAAAAGAAAAUUCAAAUAAAACGAUAGUCAAACAUUGGCCUCGAAAUUUGUCGUACAAAAU